rnacentral:rRNA from 1 species
AUCGAACGCUGGCGGCAGGCUUAACACAUGCAAGUCGAGCGGAUGAAGGGAGCUUGCUCCUGGUUUCAGCGGCGGACGGGGGUGUAAUGCCUAGGAAUCAGCUUGGUAGUGGGGGAGAACGUCCGGAGACGGGCGCUAAUACUGCAUACGUCGUGAGGCAGAAAGAGGGGGAGGGUCGGACAUCACGCUAUCAGAGGAGUGUAGGUCGGAUUGGCUAGUUGGUGGGGUGAUGGCCUACUAAGUCGGCGAUCGGCAACUGGUCUGAGAGGAUGAUCAGUCGCACUGGAGCUGAGACACGGUCCAGGCUCCUGCGGGAGGCAGCAGUGGGGAAUAUUGGGCAGUGGGCGAAAGCCUGGUCCAGCCAUGCCGCGUGUGUGAAGAAGGUCUUCGGAUUGUAAAGCACGUUAAGUUGGGAGGAAGGGCAGUAAGUUAAUACCUUGCUGUUUUGACGUUACCAGCAGAAGAAGCACCGGCUAACUUCGUG